GUUCGAAUCCUGCUUUCUCCA
rnacentral:tRNA from 1 species